UACAGAGGGGGCAAGCGUUAUUCGGAAUUAUUGGGCGUAAAGGGCGCGUAGGCGGCUUGGCAAGUGGAUGGUGAAAUCCCUCGGCUUAACCGAGGAACUGCCGUCCAAACUGCUUUGCUUGAGGCCGGGAGAGGCGAGUGGAAUUCCCAGUGUAGCGGUGAAAUGCGUAGAUAUUGGGAGGAACACCAGUGGCGAAGGCGGCUCGCUGGACCGGUUCUGACGCUGAGGCACGAAGGCCAGGGGAGCAAACGGG
rnacentral:rRNA from 1 species